rnacentral:rRNA from 1 species
AACGAACGCUGGCGGCAUGCCUAACACAUGCAAGUCGAACGAGACCUUCGGGUCUAGUGGCGCACGGGUGCGUAACGCGUGGGAACCUGCCCUUAGGUUCGGAAUAACUCCCCGAAAGGGGUGCUAAUACCGGAUAAUGUCUUCGGACCAAAGAUUUAUCGCCUUUGGAUGGGCCCGCGUUGGAUUAGCUAGUUGGUAGGGUAAAAGCCUACCAAGGCGACGAUCCAUAGCUGGUCUGAGAGGAUGAUCAGCCACACUGGGACUGAGACACGGCCCAGACGAGAGAGGGAGGCAGGGGGGGAGAGGAUGGGAGGAUGGGGGAAAGCCAGAGCGGGGAGUAGUGUGGAAGUGAGGAGGGACUGGAGUUGUGAAAGCGCUUUUGCCGGGAAGACGAAUCGCGGGAGGGGAAGAAUGAGCGCCGGCGAACGCCGGGCCAGGAGCGGCGGUAAUAAGAGGAAGACCACCCUUCUGAGU